rnacentral:lncRNA from 1 species
CACUGAUUGAGCACCUGGGGAAAAGACGCAGUCAGCCCUGGGAGCACAGGUGAAGGCAGAUCAGCUGCAUGACCGGAAGGGGUGGAGCCUGGCUGCACCUCUGUUAGACUCCAUUAAAGGGCUGACUGCCACUGGGGAAGGAUUUCUUUCUGGAGAUCCCUUCUUGGUAAAGCUUUCCCCUGAGAACCUGGAAUAUUCUAAUACAGUAGCCCCUCAAGAUGAAAACUGAAAAAGACCUGGAGCCACAAACAUAAAGAGAGACGAAGUAAGCAUUGUUGCUUCCAUCAAAGUCAGUCUAACAGAAGUUCCAAGUUUCCAACUGCCAAGCUAGCAUUUCAGAGAUGAGUACACCCUACAAGAACAUUAUAACAUAACUGCAUUUAACCUCCUGGAGAACUACUUUCUGAAUGACUUGUCUUAGGCUUACUGUUAGCUCUUUUCAACCAGUAGCUUUUUCCAGCCACUGUGCACCCGAAAAAAGCCUUUUGAUUGUGAAGUUAAAACCAGGGCAGAAGUAUCUCAGGGCAGGGUAAUAGGGAAAGUUGACAAAAUCUGAUUUAUCCGUGUGGAGUGGAAGAUGCACUGAAAUCUGAGGAGUGGGAAUUGGUCUCCUAUUGAUCGAGGAAAAGAGAAGAAAGGAAAAGACUGAAACCUGAUGAUAAAUUUUGUGUAAGCACAGAAGGAAUUAACUCUGAUAACAGAGAAAUAAUAGGGUAGAAGAAAAAGGAUGGAUAGGAUCCAAAGUAAUUUAUCUUCCCUAUAUUUAUGGAGACACACAGAUUGGGCUGGCUUUUUGUGGGUUUUUUGUUCCGUUUGUUUUGCAAAACCUGCAAACCAAGAUGUUUUGGUGAGCCUUCUUGUGAGUAACCUUUUCUUAACAAUGCGUUGUAAAGAAAUUGUCAUGGUUGACAUAGUUUCUAGCUGUACCCAGAAAUAGACUAUAGAAUCUCUGAAAAUUUGCAAAUCUAAUUAAUCCAAGACAGAGUUUUGGGUUGCUAACUAUGCUUCCUUUAUUUUGUGUUUCAUUUAAAACAAACACACACCCAUAGCUGUUAUGUUGUUCACCUUUUCCAUUGAAUUAGUGCUAGGAAAUACGUAUGACCGUAAGAAACCAUCUUGUAAUUUCAGGCAUGGAAUCAAGUCCAAUACCUGCUCUUUAAUCCUAACAACCCAGAUAGUUAGGAUGCAAUGUUUAUGUAAAACAUACACAACCAGUAACUCAUGCAAACAUGAAAACAUAAUCUGCAUUUCUCCAUUAUGUAUUCAUUAAACUGGGUUAUUGCAUGCACAAAUGAUCAGUUGAUUGAAUAAAUAUGUGUGUAAUGCCUAUUUGCAACUAAUGCAAAUUUUAUGGGAAAUGAGUAUUUUGCUAUUUUGCCUAUUUUGAUCAUCUGGUAGCUUACUGUUGUUCUGGUUUUUAGAACAGACUUCAGAGUGCAAUUAGUAACAUAACGUCUGUGAGUUCCGAACAAUUAGAAAUAAUUACAGAACUGACUGAUAAGAGCUUGGAUUAAAAUUAGAACUACCAUAAAAUUAUAAAUAAAAAUUUGUUUGUACUCAUUCUCCAUUCUGGAUUUGAAAAAAAAAGCCAGACUGGUUAAAAAAAAAAAAGCAUUUAAUAACAGAAUUGUAUGAAAGAUUUUUCAUAUACAGCUACCUUAGAUGUAAAAUUUAUACUUUGAUUUAUAUCAGCUACUGCCAGAUUAAUAUUUGUAUUCUUUCUCUCCUGCUGCCAGCUCUAAUUUGCCAUUGUUGAGGAUGUAGACUUUCACACUAAGAUAGGAGCAGAAAUUCUAGCAUGUUCAGUGUUUGUCCAACAUUCAUAUCUGCAAUGAUAGGGGCUAAACAGAUGAGACAGAUAAGCAGAUGGCACUUCAGGUUCUGAAAUGAAUAGAAUUGAUAUUGCCUGAGUUCUGAUUUAUUUGAAAGCUAAUAUGUUUGUAUCAGAGCAGCAUGAAGUAACUAUUUUCCAUAUGUGCAAUACUCCUGUAAAGCUAAGAUACAAAUAUUCCAAUACUUGAUUUUUUUCAUUAAAAAACGUUUGAUUUUUGCCAAAUGCUAAGGAAUGAAAGCAGAGUGUGCCCAACUAAUUUAACACAGUGAUUAAGAGUAAAUCUUGUAUGGCUAGCUGAAGAUAAAUAUACAUGUUUAGAACUCUAUCGGUUAGCCAUUAGUGACAAAAGGACAAGAAGCAAAGAGUGCCAGCUCAAAUACCUACUUGGAUACAAACAAAACAUUCCCCCUUGCAGAUUUUUUUUUUUUAAGGAAAAAAGUAGCCUUACUUCAUGAAUUACCAAAAAAAAAAAAAAAAAAAGGCAAGAAAAGAGAUGCUUACCCUCCCCUUCCCUUUUCAGCGUCUCAAUCUCCUCCUACCAUUCCUGCGUUCAUGCAUGAAUGAUCAGGAAUCACAACUCAACCUGACCUCCUGGAGAGUGAAUGUGAAACUUCAGCUGUUCAUCUCCAAAAAGUCUCCAAAACAAACAAACAAAAACAAUUCUCACCUGUUAAAUUCUUCAGUUUGUAUAUAAUUCAACAAAAGGGAGGACUAGGACUCUGAAUGCACCUCUUGAAUUCAGUGUUUCAAGUUUCAGCUCAAGUUGCCCAUGUGAAUCCCAUUCCCCAAAAUGAAACAUUAUAAAAAUAUUACAAUAAAAAUGGGAAAUAUAAAUUAGUUAGGAGUUUAGGGAAUAUGAACUUUCACUAAAAGCAAUCUGCGUUAAAUGGCACUUUUUAGUACGUAGGUAAUUCUUUUUACAAGGCAGAGAAAACCUGGACAGAAACACUGCCAAGGCAACAUUUGGCUGGAGACAACCUGAAAUUUGUCAAAAUAAUCUAUCAGUAUGUCUCAUUUGAGACAAUGUCAGCCAACAAGACAAAAAUAGUUCAGGAGCUCAGGUGUAUUCUUGGUUCUGAAUCCAUCCUCACAUAUGACCAGGUUCAAUGUAUGUGCUCCUCUCCUGAGCAGAGGGAUGCCAUGCUCAGAGCUUCUAUCCUAAUCUUACUGUACAGUGAAGGACGUAGAUCCUCUUCUGGAGGAUGAGACAAUAAGGUGCCAACCUUUUUCCAUUAAAUACUUUGUCAGACAACAUGAAAAGCCCUGUGCUAUUCAACAGAGGAACUAUAAGGGAGCAAAUACCCCCAGCAAGCUACCAAACAGGGAUUUACACAUUAUUUUGCAGAUAAAUUCUGGGUUGGAUUUUUUUUUUUCUGAGCUGAAUAAGGGUCUUUCAUUAAGACUACUACGUCACAGACAGAAGUAAUAAGUCCAGAUUACCAAUGCAAUUACAUUGCCUUCAAUGACAAGAGUGCCGCAAAAAAAAAGCACAUAUAUAGAUGCAUCCAGUUUCACAUCUAAUAUCCAACAUUAAAGGCAUCAGAGAUUUAAAACCAGGACCAGCGCUCGGAUGUUUUGGUAGCACUGACUUUAAUUUCCUAACCACUUGCAGUAGUUCUCAGGACUGAUAUACUAACAAAUACCAUUACUUGUAAAAUGAUGAUUUUAGCAUUCAUCUGGCAUUCAGUUGCAUCAAGCAUACACAUCAAACAUCAUGUGCAUAGUGCACAUGAAACUGUUUUAAGGUCAAAUCCAGCAUAGAUUCAGGAAUGAAAUAGGUCAUAAAGCUAGAACCGACAUGACAGAAAUUUAGUUUUGAGUGACGCAAAUUAGAAGUGCUAUUUAAUUGAUUGUUUCCAGUGAAUUAAAUAAAGACGUUCUUUCUGCCUAGUGUACUGUAGGCAUUUUCACUUAAUAUUUCACAUCAGAUGGAUGAAUCACAUGUCUCAGUCUUUCCUCAUGGAAUACCUUGACUCGUUUUCCCAGCACCAAUUAUAAACUUUAGUAUAACGCUCUCGUGUGCAACAAGUACAGAUAAAAACGAUUUGGCACUUAACAGGUAUAAAUACUUACACAGAAAUAUUUAGUUUAAAAGGUAAAAUAGAAGUAACAUGCUCUGAGGCCACCUUAUGUUAAGCAAGCUGUGCUCAACACACAAGCUUAGUGGGACCUAAGUGACACAAUCUGUCAAUGUGUCCUGGGGGCCAACUGACGCUGCAUUCAGGUACCAACAGGUAAAUGGGUCUUUGCAUGCAACAGUUGCAUCCCAUGUAAAUAGCCACUGCUGUGCCUCUUAGCUCCAACAUGCCCAACAUAAUCCAGACUACCAGAAGCUGCAGCACAGACUUGUUUUGCCUGUCUAGACAUUAUCUAGAAAACAGAUUCUGCUAAUUUGUAGCCAGAACACUGUCUGAGCAUCAUAAAAUACCUUUGUAAGUCCCAGUGAUGGGCGCCACUAAUUUUACUGAAAUACAGAUUUCACAUUAGAUUUUGGAUCUGUUGUUUUGACAGAACAACUAAUGUUUGGGCAGAUGAUUUUCAUCACUCAUGCGUUAUUAUCUUCUAGGAUUUAUCUGCUAGGAUAUUCUAUAUAUUCUAUGCCAAAAUACAUAAAGCCUCUAUGCAAAUUAAUGAUAUAUUACUCCCAACAGUAUCUUUAUGUACUAUAAACAGCCAAAGAGUUCCUAAAUUAUUUGAUAUGAUAUGCUUCAGAAGCAGAAUUUGCUCACAUUUCUUUAGGUGAAAUGCAGUUAGAAAUCAUUCCCAACUCAAAGAGAGUACAUUUUGUUAUCAUGAAGCAACAUAAAUUUUUCUUUUGGUCUUCACUUUCACAUUUUAAACUAACCUCAGAGAGCUGAAUCACCUUAUUUUACCUUCAGCUCAAGCCUCACAAAUAAACACGCUGCAAAACCUAUGGAAGUAAAGCAGAUGACAAAAAGCAAAAAGUAACCAAAAGCUGAAGAAGAGGAAGAUAAAUUGAUUAAGUGCUGGAGCAAAUUGUCCAGGGAUGUUAUUCAGCCUCCAUCUCUGGUGCUUCAAAAUCAGGUUAGACAAAUGCCUGUAUGGAAUGUUUUAAGUGAAGUUUACCUUGCCUUCAGGCAGGAGUAUGGAUUGCACAACCUCCUGAGGUUUAUUUCUGAUCUCUGAGUCUAUAAAUAUAGCAUUAAUCACUGUCUGUCUAUGAAGUAGCCUUCAUGGCCCUUUUAAAUCUCAGGAUGGUGCUCAAGAACUGCUGCUACUAUAGCAACAUCACAGAGCUACUUCACCUUCCUCUACAGGGCAAAACAAUGAUAAUCAGCAAUAAUUCUGAGACUUGUUAUAGCGUGCUAUUUUUUCCUUCAGUUGGCUGUAUCUUCCCAGGUAAGACAGUGUUUUAAGGGAUUUCAAGCAACACACACUCUAGCUGGCUAGCAAGCCUUUAUAAAUUAUCUAGUGAGAAGCAAAAAGCAAUGCAUUUCCUCAUUGCACUGAGGAUUUGUGAGUCUGAGUGCUGCUUCAAGGGAAUGAGGACUCAGGGAAGGCUUGCUGCACCUGUACAUUCCUGGCACUGCCCCAAGACCAUCUGCACAAAAAUCUGUGGGAAGGAGAGCUUUAUCCAUUCAAUGUAUUAAAGAUGUUCGCUGUUCUGCUUGGCUUUGGUGUACUCAUACAAGUAUUUAUUCUUCUAAAAUGCCUUUCACCAUUCUAUACAGCUAUUACAAACUAAAAUAAUGCUUUUAAUUUUAAAGAUUCCUUAGCUGCUACCUUCCUUAGUAGGAGUUAAGAGUUGGUGAUAGCAGAAUGAAAGAUUGCAUCCAUUUUUUAUCAUCUACUCUCUAUCCAAGAUCUCCAGGUCAGAAACAACUUUUCAAUUUUUUUGGCAUCCACAGCAAACCUGUUUCAGGAACACACAGUUCUAUGCUAGAAAUCCAGAUAUAGAGGCAGCGUCUAUGGAACAGGCAGACAGAAACUGAUACUGUAAUCCUAUGAACAUUUUGGAAAAUAAUGGAAAAGAUUUUAACUAAAAUAAUUGUAUGUUAACCUGAAACUUUGUCCAAUCUAUACCUAAAGUACAGAUUGAAACAUAAUAGGAAAACCACAGAAGAAAGCAUUUUCAGAGUUUAGUUUUCUCUCUUUCAAAAUAUACUGUAAAGCAAAUUAUAGAUGAUACAACAGAAAAGUAGUCUGCUAUAUUAAAAGAAGUAAAUGGAGCAAUUCAGACAUAAGAAAACUAGAUUAUAAUUGCAUUUUAUUCUCUUGGCUUUAAAGUGAGCCCCUGGCUGAGAUGUUACAAACAGUCUUAACAGUGAAGAUAACUUUUAUCUGAAGAAAUGUGUACAAUGAAAAAUACAGUUUUGAAAACAAUGACAUUCAAACAGAUGCUAAUAUAAAACAAGUCUUUUAAUGAAAUGAAAUAAAAUGUCUAAAAGCAGGAUGACCAAUGAAGAACGAAAUAUAAGGGCCUAAGAAACAAAGAUCUCAAGAGAUCACCAAUGCCAUUUUGGUACAUCCAAGCUUGGAAAGCUCAUCAGCAACAAGACAAUGUUUUUCUAUCUAACUUUAUUUAAAUAAACAUCUGUAGAAACACUGUGCUGCUGAUCUGUGGAGAUAAACCAUAUAGGGAGGAUAGCAGGGUCAUCUCUAUGAUACAUCAACACUCUUAAUUAGUGGUAAAAAUAUUCCAGAUUUUCUGUACAGGGACUUAUGCUGAAUUACAAAUGCUAUUCUGUUGUCCCACUGCUCAGAUGGCAAGGUUUAUGCCAACCUUAACAACAAAACAAAACUAACAUUUCAACUCCCAGAGUACCACAAAUGUCUAGGACUAUGUUCAAAAUUACACGGAUGGUUGUUAUACAAAUUUUCAAGUCAUAACAUAAUGCCUUUCCUUACAAACAGACAAUCCAAAGCAUCUGAACUGCAGCAAUACAGUCUUUUAUUGGCUUUGCCUCUUUUUUUCCCCCUCCUAUUUCUUUCUCAACAACAAAAAACCACCAAGUACUGGCAUCUUGAGAUCUUUGCAUUUGUUCUGGGGUCAUUAAUCUAUACAGCUGACCUAGUAUAAUCACCUUUAACUUGUAUUUCAAUCACACUUGAUUAUAGUCUUUUAAGUUCUCCUGAACUGAGAAGUUGUUAGUAGAAUUAUUUAUAACAGAGACCAUAAAUGUACUUUCUGCUCCAGAAAUGUUGUCUUCCAUGUUAUUUCUGGAAAUCAACAUUUUCUAACUUUGACCCUUACACCUUUGCAUUCUGGGCUGCAAUAGAUUUCAUUUUUAUGUGAACACAGACAUGCUGGUGAACUCAUGAAUAUAUAUAAACCAAUUGUAGAUGAUUUUUUUUUUUUUUUUUUGUAAACAGUUCGUUUUCCAUGUGCUUCUUGUGCAUAAGUACUCCCUGCAGAUAGAACUUCCUCAGGCAGGUCCUACUGCCUCCAUGGAAAACACUUGCUCAUCCCAUCACUACCAAGCCUUUUGUUUUUUCCAUUAGCUACCUGCACAGACUGCUCUAUUUAUGUGAUGAAUACGCUCGAGUAAGAUGCUGAGAUGUUCAAAAAGGCAGUAUCAAAGGAUCACAACAUAACAAUGGAAAACAUAUCCCAAGGCAAAUUAUGUACUACUCGGUUUUAGCACUUCUGUUUCUCAGUGUUAUCCAAGCAUGCUGUUUUUCUAGAAGAAAAAAAAAAAGGUUUUUUCUAGAAAAAAACCUUUACCAAAACCAGAGCUGAUAUAUUAUCCAAGUAAUAUAUGUAUGAAUACAUGUCUUUGCUUUUUGACAUUUUACAUCAUAAAGAACACCAAAUCCAGGAAGCCUAAGACAAAUAUAGAAAAAAAAACCUAUCCUUAUACUCCAUGUCACAGUAGGAAAGGGAAGCUGUAACAGGAGUCCAAAGCCCUCCAACAGCCAAAAUGAGAGCUUCAGUUGAAUUUUGAAUCAUCUGGUUGUUGAGUAACAGAAAAGUCAUCUCUUCAAAGGGAAUUAAAAUUCUAUGUGAAGAUCCUUCUUUGAAUUAAAGAGUGAGAAAGAGCAACCAGCUCAGAUGCCUGUGCUAACUAGGCAGCUGGAUGUGAGGAGUAGUCUAGCAGUAUUCUAGAUGAUGGAAAAGACAUAAGACACCAAAUGUGAUUUCAAAUGUUUAUCCUAAAAAAAGUAAUUAAAGAAAAAUGCCAGUCAUCUCAUAGAAACUGAUUUAUAUGAGUGCUGUUAUAAGAACAGCACAGCUAAAAAUACUGACUUCCAGUAGGAAUAUCUCAGGUGGGCAAGCAAUAAAGAAGCAAAUAGCCAUUUUGCCAAUUUAAAAUUGAAUUGGGAGAGAUUUCUGCUGAUACAAUAAAUCAUGUUAACGUAAUUAACUAUCUCCAAAAGAAACUUUCUCAUCAUUUCAAUUGUGGUUAAGUGCUGCUUUCAAAUUUUAGGUUUUGAACUAGACUAAACCAUGUUGCUAGUAUAUGAUUUUUGGCUUUUCACUCAACUGAUAUGAAAAUACUUGUAGUUUGACACAAAAAGUCAUUCUAUGCAAGACAGUAAAAGAACUAAAAGUUUGUGUUAUUGAAUGUUUUUCUGCUUAUUUCUGCUGGUUAUUUCUAGCACAUUUUUCCUGAAAAUAUGCAACUACAUCUUCUGUGGUCACUGCUACAACUGUAAUAUAGCACUGUAGAUACAGCCAAGUCCAUUUUCAAUUAGUUACUUCAGCUACAGGCACCUCACGCUACAGCAGAGUGAGUACAGAGCUGAGCAUGGGUUCCAUUGUCUCAAUAUCUAACCAGUUCCUAAUUUGAUUUUUAUAAUCUACAUGGAGCUCUAAACUAAAGCAGUGUUCAGCUAAUCUGAGUUAAUGUACCCAAACCUGCUCUUUUACAAACACUAUAAAGCGAUUUCAGUUACCAGACUGCAGAAGACAAGUAGACAAAGAAUCCUUUAGAGGAAAAACCCCAAAGCAAAUCAAACCACUGAUGUACUCCUCAACCACAUAAUAAAAUAAACGCUGCGCUGCUUUUAAAGCAUAUUUAAAAAUGAAGGGGUUUUGUUUUGUUUUGCAUGAAACAGAGAAAACACAUUAAAAAAAAAAAGGAAAAAAAAGAAUGAGAUGGACAGAUGAGGUUAUUUCACAGACAGAGAAUGAUUUGGGAUGUUGAUGUAAUGCUUAUAACAUUCUCAUAUUUUCUCAAUGACCACUUCAUAAUAUUUCCAUUAACCUGCCUCACACCUUUCAGCUCCAUUGCAGGGAGACUAAACAAGCUGUCACAGAUUAAAUUGCGGGAGAAGGAUGCCUUCUCCCAUCCAGGAAAUCAGACACAGACUGUCUGUACACUUGCUGCAUGUCUGGAACGUGCACCCUCGUCUGGCAGCACCGCAGCCUUGGCAGCUGCCAGGAGUAAAUUUACCCCUUACCUGGCAGCCCAAAGACAUGUGUCAACAUCAUUGUAAAAUGACACUGUAUUUUCUCUGAGGUUUUGUGGUACCUGAGACUGUGGGCUUUUUGUGGAUAUUAUCCAGGAGUCCUCCCACACUGUACUCUCACCAUCUGUUUUCCCGGCACAAUCAUGUUACACUUUUACAAGUGUCAUCAACUCUUGUAGGAUCUUCCUUGGUGCUCAGAUAGCACCAAGCUGAGAGCUUAAAAUAUUCUCAAAAAACAACAUUCUCCAGUUUACCAUUUUAAUUCUCUACGGCUUACUCAAUGCUCUGCUACCAUCAUUCAACACAGUCCCUAAUCUUCUGAAUAAAUCUUCUGAAACAAAAAAAGAAAAUCAAGAAACCAUGGUGCAAAGCAUUUCCAGAAGGUGGUAUGGACUAUGAAGAGAUGCUGUUAUUUGAGCAAGUGAAGGGAAAAAACAAAAGCAAAACAAAACAAAAAACAAGAACAAAACAAAACCUCUCAAUUUUCUGCUCCACAGAAUUAAGAAAAUCAAACCAAAAUAUACAGAAUUUAAAUCAGACCUGGAGAGAGAAAGGCAGCUCCCUCAUUCCCUGAAAACCUCAAUUUUCUUCCCUUAAGAUGGUAAAUCUUCCCUUUAAGAUGGUAGAAGAGCCAUUGAUUUGAUGAUGAGGGAAAGCAGGGGGAAAAAUGCAAUAAUUCUAGAGGAAAUAUAUUUUCUGUGAGAGAACAGCUGCAGCGUGUAGCUUUAAUGAGAUACCGUAUCUGUGUCACGACAUUGUAUUUCUCAUCUGCCAGUGAUAAAGGAUGAAAGCUGACAACUGCAAGAGCUCAGCUAAACCUUUUCCUUGGAUUUUCUGUUUCAGUAUGAUGCAUAGUUUUUGCAACAGCAAAAACCACAGCCUUAAUUUCAGUCAUGAUAAAGUCUUUCCCGUUAACAGUUUUGCUUAGUCUCUAGGGCAAGCCAGCCAGAAAUGUAAGCAGCAGAGUCUUCUCAGAGGUUUCUCUGAAAGGCAGCCGGCUAUUUUCCUGCUGAAACUAAAGCCCAGUAAGACCACAUCACACAGGUUUUUUUGCUACGCAGGUACUUUCUACCUUGACAGUGCUACCACAUUUGUUCAUUGUGCACACAUUAAAAGCGUAAAAGAUCGUUAUCAGCCUUCUUGAUGUUACAUAUUUCAAAGUCAUCACACAACUCAAACAAAUUAGGUAUCAAAAUUGAUUUUAAAACAACAUUUCAGCAGUGUGAUUGGAAGCUUGCCGGCAUGUAAUCAGCUGUCUUUUCCUUUUAAAAUGCGAAGCCUUCCACCUGCAGGCUAUUAGAUUUAGUGCUUUGCAGAGAGAGUCAAAGGAACUGAUAAAUAGAAAAUACCAGCUCUUCUUGCCAGCCAACAGAAACAUUGGAGGUGGCACCCAAAGCGAGCCAACAUGAAGUAGCUCAGCAUGAAUUUUCCAUCAACUCAGGAAUAUGCUAUUUGUCUGGAAAACUACUGAAUCUCAAAUCUAGAAAGAAAAAUGCUGCUGCUGACAUAUCCAUUUCAGCAUAUUACAAUGAAACCAUAACAGGAAUUCAGAGAGUUUGCUUUUAUGAAGAUUACGGUGUGAAAUAGUAGAGAGAGUAAUGAUUAAAAGAAAAAGAAAGAGGUUUCUCCUUAUAAAUAACCCUAAACUCACUGUGUCUCUGUGUUAUUUGGGAAAACAUGGCAGUGUAUACACUGCAAAAAUGACAAAGCUUUGGAAAUUCCUGAAUGAAAAUGGUUGGGAAGGGCAGAUGGCAUAGGAAAGCCAUUUUCGUUUUAAAAAAAAGAGGGGGGAAAAAUCAGCAUCAGAGAAAAUAAUAAACAUUCACUGAAAAAAUAACAACUUCAACUGCUGAAUUGUAGAUUGACCAAGAUGCAUUACCUGCACAUUCAAGCACAUCUCUGGGUGAGCCCGAUGUAACAUCUGCCUGUUACACUGCACAAGAUACCAGCUGUAACACACAGUUAGCAACCUUCCAUUCAGUUGGUGCAUGGCCUUAGCAACAACAACAAAUAAAAGGAUUAAAGCAGUGUUAGGGUGUUUGGCGCAGUUCCAUACAGACGUUCAAUGCAGUUACCUUUAAAACGGUAAGAACAAAAUGUCCAGUCUAUAGGUUGUUACAAAGUUAAAACUGCCUCAGUUUGUAAGGGGACUUUACAAAGCUGAGAGCAUGCUCCCACAGUUUCCCCAUCCGUGCAGUGCAACUGCUUGUGGGCGCUGGGACAAGUAGAGCCUCAGGCUCUAAAACACUGCUGGGGCUAAACCAUACCCUAGCUGCAGUCGUGUUGCGAUGUAAGGUAAUGUUUCUGAAGCACCAAGGCUGCGUUCCCAAGCUCUGCUGGCUCUGAAGCCAACUGCUGCGGCGAUAACCCCAGCAGGAGCCUGAAUGUACCAUCCACCUUGCAGUGUCCUCCUCAGCCACAUACAGAUUGCAUGAGAUUUGUCUGUCUUUGGGCUACAAGAAAACAACUCAUGUCACUCAGGAAGCCUGCAGCCCAUGAAAUUAGAAAAAUGAAACAUCCUGUGUUUCCAUACCUUCCCUCAAACAGUAGCAAGCACUGCAUCAAAAACUAGGGAAAACAUUUUAUUCUGCUUCCUCUCCCCACUAGCAGAGGUUUCCUUUAAGAGCCUCCUGCAGGUCAGGAUCCGGCUUUUCAUUCUCAGUAGAAAUGUGGCUGAAGAAAAGAAUGGUAGCAGAAACAUUUUCCACUGUGACAGAAUCCAAGCAGUGGACAAUAUUGCCCUUUAAAACUGAAAUAAAAUCUUUUUACCUGCUGUCAGUAGCAUCAUACAGCAAAAGGGAUCUCUGUGUUUAUUACUCCAUCACUCCAGGUCUGUGCUGAUGUAACUUCAUGUAGUAAAAAAACUAACUAGACUAACAAAUGGUAACUCACAUAUUAAACAGUAUCCAGCUACACAGUUACUAAUGAAUUUAUGACCUUGUCUGAACACAAGAAAAAAUUCACAGCCACCCAGGACAUCAGCUGUUAGCUGUAAUACUUGCAAAAUGCUUAUCCUCUAGCAAAGAGCUGGCUAGGAAGUUUUUCAUUCCACACUCAGUCAAGUGUCACCAAAACAUCCUACGUUAUCAGCAAAGGAACGCUCUGCAGAGAGAUAUGGGUCUUAUGAAAAGCUUUUUUCAAGAAACCUUUUUUUGUUAAGAACUCGUGCAAAACUCAGCAAUGACCCACAAUUAUCUGAAAGUAAAAAGGUCUGUGCAGAAGCACAGGGUGCUGAACAGUCUCAUGAAUAAGUCAAGCUCCUGAAGAACUAAUAAGUAUGAGGCAAUGAAACUAAGUUUCUGUCUUGAGGAGGAAGAAUGAAAGAUAUUAGAGGAAGAAAAAGUAUCUUGUUAAAAUCCAAAGCAGAAAAACAGAAGAGGAGCUCAAGAGAAAGGGCAGAAGGAGAUGGGAAGAAGGCACCAUUCACUGAGGACAGCUUCCUGUUAGACCUGCUGGUUGUGCUGAAGGAUGCUGACUACAAGCAUCAAGAUGUCUGAUCUGCAUAAGAAUUUAUUUAUUUAUUGAGAAACCACGCAAGGGGAACAAUCUUAGUUAGACUCCUUUGCACAUGAAGGAACAGGGAUAGGGCACGGAGGAAGUUUACUAUUAUUACUGAUGCCUCAAAGGAAAAAAAAACAUCUACUAAGAAAGCUUUGAGAACUUUUUCAGCUGUUUUCUUCGGACAUCACACAUUCCUGAGCAGUAAACACAGAUCAGAACUUUCUGAGGGCACCUGGAAGCCCAGAAAAGCCCAGUCUGAAGGAGCCAAGGAGUACUGGAAGCCCAGGUGAGUUGCAGACAUCCUAAAGAAACCAGAACUAGAAGCUCUGCCUCACCCAAGGACCUGGCAUAGGGCAAGGAUCCAACGUGGGUGAUAUGCACAGUGGUACUGAGGGCAUUUAAGGUGUACACUACAGCUCAAGCUCUUUUCUGUUACUCUCAGUUGUGGCAUUUGCACAGAAGUUUUACAGCAGAGUACGCACACUGCACACCACACAUACUGAAAUGGGUCCCUUUUCCUCAAACUUAGGGUAGAUUUAGGUCUGCUUUAAGGAAGAAGUCUUUUUCCAUAUAUCCUUUCAAAAGUGAGGAUGAUGAGGCACUGGCGCAGGUUGCCCAGAGAUGUGUAGGAUAUCCUGUCCUUGGAGACUUUCAAGGCCAGGCUGGACAGGGCCCUGAGCAACCUGAUGGAGCGGUGCAUGUCCCUGGUAAUUGCAGGGGAGCUAAAGUAGAUGAUUUCUAAAGGUCCCUUUCAACUCUGAGGAUUCUGUAAUUCCUUACACUGGGAGUUUGAACUAAUUUUCUCAGGUAAAAGCGUAUGGCAUGUAUCGAGAGGAUAAUGGGACAUUUACUUAGUAACAAAAGUUCUCUCAACCGUCUCUGCAGUCUGAAAACACUGCCUUCAAGUCAUCUGAGUUGUAAAAGAAAAGGGAUGCCUCAUUAAUAGAGUCUCCAUAGCAUCCCCAUUAGUCAUUUCAGAACAUAGGCUUCGUUCUCUUUGUUACCGUCAAAAAUAUUUCAUCACAGAUGUUCAGAGGAUUAUGUAACAAAAAUCAAUAACAAAUCAUAUUUUUUGUUAGCGUUCAAAAUUAUUUCAGUACUUCAUAAAAGGCCAAUAACUUAAUUUAACUCAUCCAGUGAAGUUAAUCAUAAUUGAGUUUUCAGCUUAGAGAAAAAUCAAAGCUAAACAGACAACAUUUCAACCACACACACUGGGGAAGCCGGAAUGCUGAAAUAUUAGUACAAAUCAAUAAUUAUUUAUGGAAUAAAGGGAAAAUCAGAAGCUUUGCAUAGAGCUAGUGGUUUAUAAGUAUCUUCCAAUCUGAGGUUCAGAACGCUUCAUUAAACUUGACAGUUAAUUAGUGGGCCUAAUGAUUCCCUCUUUGGCAAUCUGAAAUGAACAGGAACAGUUUUUUCUGGCCACAUUCAUCCUCUCAGGAAAUGUUUUGCUGUAUAAUACAGCAUAUAUUACAGUAUAUAUUACAGUAUAUCCAGCAUUCCCGCUGUCCAGUGCUAGAAGAGGUUUUUCAGGUUUUUGCACCACUAUUCUCAUUACUACAUUAGUCCAAAAUAAUUAAAUAGAAUUAAACAGCUAGAUGGCCUAUGGUAUCAGAGAAAGCUUCAAGGAAUAUUGGGGACAUUCUUUCUCCGUCUGUUGAAUUUCUGGUCUCAAUAAUAAAGCAAGAUCAAAUCCAGAGCUGCAUCAUGGACCAGUAUUUGUGGAAAAUAACAUUACCACUGUUUUUAUGAUGACUCAUAUCCUCUGAUUUUCAAGCCCUCUUGACAGCCAUGCUGAGCCACAAACAGCGUUAAUGUCACACUAGAAGAAAAACGCAAAUCCUAAGUGCCAUUUCUGAGAAAAGCAUUCAUAAAAUUCAUAAUCUGCUAUUUUCCAGGCUCAGCUCUUGUCAAAGGUAGAUCUGCAAGACAGUAACAAAGUCAAUGGGGCAAUACAGACCUUCAGUACUCCUCAAAUAAACAUCACAAGAUAUAAAACAUAUUUUGCCACAGAAAUAAAAAAUGAAGUCCUAAAAUAUUCCGUACUGUCACUGAAUGAAAACAUCUUUGCAUACCAGCUUUCCCAUGCAGAUUGAGUCAUGAAAAAUAGAAUACGUUGAAGCUAGGAUAGAAGAAGCUAAGAUAAAUCCAAUUAGUUGCAGAGUUCUGUUCUUUAACCUUGUUUCAGCAGCAAAUAAAAUCAUCACUGAGACACUUUCUUUUACACCCUUCCUGCAUGAAGAAAGAUUUACUCAUUAACUGCCUCUCAAGCUAAGGAACUGCUCCAAAAGCAGAGCCCAGUACCAUGUUGCAUUAGCACAGCUGCUUAAACUGACAGGGAAUUAGGCAUUCUUCAUGCCUUUGCACUGCCUAUUAUAACGCCAGAACACCACUGUCCCCCUGAACCCACAAGCUGGCCCACAUAUCUAUUGCACAUGCAAAAACAGUUGGCUACUUAAAUAUUUUGCAUAUGUUGCUAUAGCACACAACAACAACGUGCUUUAUAAAGCACUGACAAAUUUUACAGUAAUUAGAAAGCCCAAUUAGGGGAGAAAUCUGAAAAUGCAUGCAGCUUUGGUUUGAUGCAGUAAUAGUUGAACAGAGAAAGAUCUAGAAGAAAAGAAAAAAAAAGUCUUUAAAGUAUUAGAAAUUACAGACAAACUAACCCUGUAAUUAAAAGUUCAUGUAACAUAUGUUUGAAAUUUGUUCUUCUCAACAAGGGCUUAGACUUGGGAACAUGUUUCUUGACUCUGUUCUCCAAUGUCUUUCCUCUCAGUGGAAUAACUGGCUUAUAGCUUCUCUGGAGAAUUCUUAUCCCAGAAGAAGAAUUAUCAAGAGCUAAUAGCAAAUGCAACUUUGGCUUAGCAAGUUGUAUGCCAUCAUAAAACAUUUCUGAAUAAAAAUACAAUCACAUUCAAUUCCCAGUCAAGAUUCAUCAAAUAGCUGGAUCCAGAGAUGCAGUCCUGUUGUUCCAGAGAAGCAAGAAAGGAUGUCAGCUUUGAGACACUGCUAUUUAACAUGACAGACAGAUUGUGAAAGUUGAAAGUAAGGCAAGCCCAAUCUCAGAUAUAGGAUGAAAUCUGCAUUUUAUAGCUUGAUGCCAUCCGUUGUGCAAAUUGAUCUGUUUUAUCUUUUUACAUACACUACUCAAAGCUCUUAGUUUAAAUCAACUACAUUUUCAUAAGAAAUCAAUAGGGAGACAGUUUCUGUAAUUCUAGUUCCUCAGCUCCACGCCCACAGCUGAGAUGACUCACAGUCCUCAAAGUCCUUUCAGCUUUCAGAGUUAUUAGUACUUGCCCAUUCAAUUUACUGUAGUAUUAGUUAUACUGAGAUGCAAACACCUGCCUACAGCUGCAUGAAAAAUAAGAUACUUGACAUCAAGUAAGGUAAAACCUUGCAUAAAUUCUGCAAGAAAAAAAACCAUCUGGUUUCUACUGUUUUCUAUGCUCCCAGAAGAAAGGGUGAAAUGUCAGCAAAUUUUAAUGACUGCUCUUAAGGGGAAAUGAGAGAAAUUUGAAGAAUUAUACUUGCAGAUUAAAAUAUGGUAAUCUAAAAUUUCUGGAGAGCUCUACUGUCAAAGCCCCAAAGCUGGAGUGAGGGCACCCAGUGUGCUACAGUUCACAAUGACUACCAACAGCACCUCCCAAGGAUUUUGUACAUCAGUUGUUAGUGGAUUAUAUUUUACUAGAGACUGGAUAAAAACUAAUCACUCUCACUUGGAAAAUACUCAAUUUUUCCUUCUCCCCUCCACUUCCAGUGAAAGUUGAAAACGUUAAACACAAUAAUUUAUGCCUACAUCCUCAUCAAAAGCACUUGAAAUACUCCCUGCUGCAUACUCUGUAUCACUAUACAGAAGCCAAGGAUGCACGCUCAAAGGACAGAUAGUUCAGAAUUGAGAUGACUCUGGAAACUGGAUCACAUUAAGCUACAAUCAUUCACGAUGAUCCUUCUGCAUAUCUUCUAGUGAAGACACCCAUCCGCAUAGUCUGGAUCUUUCAUUAAGUACCUACAGACAAUGCUUAAAAUGAUGGGACUUGUCUCCCUUUGUCCAGCCCGAUUGUACAGGCAGAAAGGAUUAGUAGAAACAAAAUUAGUGUUUUUUUGUUUGUUUGUUUGUUUUUUAAAGGUAAGCAGUGAAGCAGCAGCAACAACAAUGGAAACAGGUCAUUCUAAUUGGGUGUGGGGAAAAAUGCACUAGUGGUAGCAUACCAUGUUACCCUGGUGUAAGUGUGUAACAAGCACAUGAUGGGGAAGUAACAAUAAGCUGAUUUACUUUGUCUAGUGCAAAAGGCCAUGUGGGUGCAUAACCCCUUAGCCAGGUUUAUUUCUAUGUCAUUCAUAUCAACUAGAAAUGAUUCUUAAGAGAAACUAGACAUACUCCCCAAACCAAAGGAAAAAAGCAUCAGUGAGGAUGUAAAACUACUCUAAUACCAAAGUAAGCCUCUGUGCAUGAGUUUGCAGGUGUAUGGACACGUGACAGAGUGGAUUUCUUUAAAAUUUUCAUCUUGAAUAUGCAAGAAGGUUACUUGGGAGACCAAAGUAAAGCCAACAUUUGCUAUAUUUUUUAUCCUUGACCACACUACCAGGAAAAUAUCAAUACCAAUUUUUCAAUUUUAUGUAUUUUUUAUAUGAGGAAAACACAUACAAAAAAGCUGCAGCAUACUGUAAGAGGUGUUGGUAUCUGGAGCCCAAAAUGUAGUUGUUCUGGAAGUAAUGCCUCCUAUUUCUUUCCAUCCACUCCAAACUUUUUUUCUGGACUUGCUAGUUUGAUGUGGUUUCUGACAAAUUGUUCAUCAUAGGUGGAACAAAGCACAUCAGUUUUACAUUGCUAGAAUUUUAUACUUUAUGUUCUCUGGCUGCUUAGCACAUCUUUUUUCAAAAGGAAAAUUGGGAUACAUUGGCACUGGGAGAUGUACAAUGGAGUUAGGCAGGACAAAAGACCAGUCUCUCAUAGCUAUAACAGUCUCAUUAUAGUACUUGUGCCUAACAGAUUCAACUGUAUUUAGCAUCACGUACUAGGGACACUACCCUGGUUACAGUAUGCUACCCUGGGGCAUUCCUGCAGCUAUUCUUAAAUUCACACAGCACCGUUGGUAAGCCUAAUUAUAUUAAACAAUUAGCUUUUACCUGGAAAUAAGUAACAACAAAUGAAGUCCAACAGGAUUAAUCUGCCACGUCAACUAUUCUCAAAAGACAAAUACCCUGAAGCAUUUCUAGAAUCCUAUAAAUGCUAGUAGUCUGUCACCACUUUUCAAUGAUAAGAGGAAUUUGAUAAAAGAUAAAUCAUAAGAAAACGUUUUCAUUCCAGAAUACAGGAGCACAAAUUUGUUUUAUCUGAGAAGCUUAUACUGUAAAAGAAACUACUGCCAUUGUACAGGUGUACUGAACAGCAACUACCAUAACUUUGCAUCAGUGUUGUGAAGGUAAUUUAGUUUUGCUCUCAGUUCAGAGCUGCCUAGACAAGAAUCUGUUGCACCAAGUCAAGUAACCUCUUGACUUACCUGUUAUGGGUAGUCUUAUUUUACUAGAAACAAAUUGCUAAGCAUUUUCACUCCAACAGAGUGACAGUAACAAACAGGGUUACAGCUUUGUAAUUGGUACCUCUUAUGGAACUGAGGGUCUGCCCAGUGUAUGUUUACCAACACCAUUUGCUCAAUUUUGUUUGAACAAAAACAAACCCAAGAAAGUUCAUAUAAGCAAUUGGAGUACUUGCUGAUACUUUUUAAACAAAUGACAUACUUUUUAAACAAAUGACAUACUUAUUAUUAAACAAAUAAUAAAGUGAUGCUUCACUGGGAAGCAUGUUAUAAAUCAUUUUGUGGUUGCAGAAAAAUGAAUACCGCUGAAUACUUGGUUCUUUGAGAAAUGUGAAUCCAGCUCUGCCUCAAAGAUACAUCAGCAAAGUUCAGAUUUUCUUCAGAAGUUCCAUUUAGCAAGAAGAAACCCUGAAAAAAAGGAUUGAAAAAAAAAAUUAUGGAGGAGGUUGUAUAGUAACCGUUGAGCCAUGGCCUGAACCACUGAUUUCACGUAGGGAAAAGACCGGUCAGCCCUGGGAGCACAGGUGAAGGCAAUUCAACUGUGUGACCAGAGAGGGUGGAGCCUGGCUGCACCUCUCUUAGACCUCACUUAAGGGCUGACUGGGAUGGGAGAAGGGUCUCUGGUUGGAGAUCCUUUCCUUGUGGGGUCUUUUCUGCAAGUGUAGAUCUUCAGAGACAGGUGAGCACUUUUCCUUUGUAACACUGUUCAACUUAAUCUAAUCCCUUUGUUCUUACUCUCCUCUAUUGCUGUAUCACCCUUCUGCUGUGCUAAUCUUUCCAAUUAUUGCAGAGAUUUAUUUAAAAAAAAAAAACCAAAUUUAUGACACAAACUCAAGAUAGAAAAUUGUCUUGAAUUCUACUCUCUAUACAGACAGAUAUGACCUGAAAGCCCUGACUCUAGCAGUGGAAGCAGAGCAUUUCCAGUCUUUUUAUCCAUAUUGUUCCCCUGUUUAUAAAAUAGAUGCAUAUAUAGGUGGAUUUAAUACUCACUGGAACAAAUAAUGUGUUUUACUUUAAUUAUGUAAGUUGUGGAACAUAUAUAUUCAUACUAACUGUGGAUACUGAAAUUCCUCUGUUUGUAAACCAGAUAAACAUUCAGACUCUUACUUGCAAUUGCUCUUUAAGACAGGAAGGAGUCAAACUCAGAGUGAUCAGAAAAAAAACACCCAGAGAUGCUGCUCUCUAUGGAACUCUCCUCCUCUCAGUUUCAAAUUAAAGUUAGGACUACAUACAGGUCCUUCACCAGACCUAACUAAUUGCUGUGAUUUAGAAGAUACCAUCCCAGUGAAUGGAUGAUAACUGCAACAGCAAUUUCUGUAGCAUUAAAGGCUCAACACUGAGAGGUACUGAGUACUGCUGGCAAAUAGAGCUAGUGUUUUUUGAAAUCUUCUCUCAUGACUUUUGUCUCCAUAAUGGUGUAUAUUGUCAUACUUCUCUAUGAGUACUUCAUUAGCUUUUGGGAAAUGCCUGCUUGUUUCUGCUUCAAUAGCUCUGUUAAAAAACAAACAAACAAAAAAAAAAACCAACCUUGAAUUAUUUUCCUUAGUUCAGUCAGAAAUCUAUUUCCUAACUAAUGUGGUUUAUUAACGUACUGCAUUUCUGGCAAAGCAAGUAGAAUGUUGAGUGGGAUUAAGUAGCAGAGUCUGGUGUUCCAAAAUAUCUGGGAAAUACUUAAGUUCUGAACCAUAACAACUUCAACUCUGCUUUUUUCACUGCAGAGCAUGCUAUACUUGGCUUACAUUAUGUUGUUUCAGUGAGUUCUUAGAACAAAUCCCCCAAAACCUAAGAGACAAGAAUAUGUACCAUGAUUUUCCAGUCAAUGUUAGCUUACUCCAAGUAUUUCUACUGCAAAAUGCAAACGUGUGGGAAAGCAGUACUAUAUUUUUAAGCUUUAUGAAUAAAAACAUUCCUUUAAGAUGUAUCUUGGCUAAGCUAUGGUCAUGUAGUCAGUCAGCCCCCAAGUCAUCUGCUAAAGAAAUGAUGGCAGGAAGUCUAGUCUUGGGUGUUACAAAAUACUGCUUGCUUAUGUAGACAUUACUCUUAUGAAGGCCAAAUCUUCUGUGACAAAGACAGCAAAGUAUUUCAGCUUUGUUCACACAUCAGGUUUCCUCUCUCCACCAAAUCUAACCACCUGCAUAAGGCAGAAUUUUUGUCCACCCUAAUCUGGAAAAGGAAGCUAUGAAGAUGCUGACUUCACCACUGGAGCAUCCCUCAUACUUCUUGAAAUCAGGCAGGUUCAUCCUUGGAUCUUUAUAAAUCCAAUAUGUGACCCGUGAUAUAGGUGUGUACAAGCAGAACAAAAAACUAGAGGAAGACUAAAUGAGUAAGUAAAUACAGAAUAAAGGAAAAAAAAGGGCUGCCCCAAAAGCAUUGCUGCUUAUUUUAUUGUGUUGGCCCAUGAUAACAGAGGUGAAUGUUGGUGGAAUGGCAGUAGAAGUGCCACCCCAUAUUUCCCACCAAUAUUCUAUUAAUUCUGUUGCCAUGCAACAGACUGCUUGCUGAACAUUUGUGGAGACCAAAUAGUGGAUCUGAGCACAGUGAGGCUGUGGGUGGUGCAUUUCAGCAGUGGUGAGUGGCAUGAAAGAACAAGCUAUGUUCUGGACAAUCAUGCAGAUUUUUUUUUACAAGCGUGGCAUACAGGCUCUUGCUGAACUCUAGCAAAAAGACAUAGCUAAUGGUGGUGACUGUUUUAAAAAAGAGUGUUUUGUAGCUGAGAAUUUGGUCUAUCAAAUAGUAUUAUUGGGCUGUUUGCAUCUGUUGUUGUUUCCAUGGAAAUAAAUAGUAAGCAUUACUUUCAGAACGACCUACAUCAGGGGUCAGCAGGUGACUGCUGCUAUACUAUUAGU